UGAAAACCAGAGCUGAGGAAUUUCAGCUUCUUCCUCGAUCAUGGGGCUGGGAAAAAAGGCUCUUUAUACCUCGGGAGCCAUUCCAGCAACACAAAACCCGAGACCAACAACCCUCAGGAAUCUGCAUUUCCAGCCCUGCCAAAGGGAAGAGAGACAAGGCAAAUUGGAUUGGCAUUGCAUCCUGCACAGCAGAACUUGAGAAAAAAAUUGAAAGCUUUACUGGGAGAAAGUUUUAAGGAGU
rnacentral:lncRNA from 1 species